rnacentral:rRNA from 1 species
AACGAACGCUGGCGGCGUGCCUAACACAUGCAAGUCGAGCGCGAAUGGAGCAAUCCUAGUAGAGCGGCGCACGGGUGCGUAACACGUGGGUAAUCUGCCCUGGAGCCCGGGAUAACCUGCCGAAAGGCAAGCUAAUACCGGAUAAGCCUACGGUCCCCUCGGGGACUGAAGGAAAAGGUGGCCUCUGCAUGCAAGCUAUCACUUCGGGAUGAGCCCGCGGCCCAUCAGCUAGUUGGGGGGGUAACGGCCCACCAAGGCAACGACGGGUAGCUGGUCUGGGGAGACGAUCAGCCACACUGGACCUGAGACACGGUCCAGACUCCUCCGGGAGGCAGCAGUGGGGAAUUUUGCGCAAUGGGCGAAAGCCUGACGCAGCAACGCCGCGUGUGUGAUGAAGGUCUUCGGAUUGUAAAGCACUUUCGACCGGGACGAAAACCUGCUGGCCAAUAUCCAGCAGCUUGACGGUACCGGGAGAAGAAGCACCGGCUAACUCUGUGCCAGCCGCCGCCGUAACAC